rnacentral:rRNA from 1 species
AAUUUUUUCAUGCUUCAAAGCUCGUUAAGACUAGAUGGGGUAUCCCUACAUAGCGGCUGGGACCCAUGGCGAAUGGUUCAUCAAGUCUUAAAAAAAGAAUAUAUACGAUUGCAUUACAUAUACUAACGUAUGCGAUCAUACCAGCACUAAUACACGAGAUCCCAUCAGAACUCCGCAGUUAAGCGUGCUUGGGCGAAUAUUGUACUAGGAUGGGUGACCUCCCGGGAAGUCCUCUGUUGCAUCCCUCUUUUUUUUUAAUUUGUUUUUUUUGGUUAAAACUUUAUGACUCUAUAACUUUUAUACCGUGAGGCCAAACUAGGCAUGUGAUACCUUUUCGGAUAUCCCAAAGAGACCCUCCACGAAGAAACGGACAACGAACUUUUCCUUGACUUUUGCCGACCACAAUUUGACCUUAACUACUUUUCGGGAAAUCAC